rnacentral:lncRNA from 1 species
CAUCUGACGAAAGGCUGUAUUUCCCAGCUGCCAGGUCAAGCCUGGGCAGCCCCCAGCUUGAUGACACCCUGUGGCCUCUCUGUGCACACUGGUUUCUUUGUGACCUCCUCCCCCAGGACCUUGAAUGGGAUGCUGGACAUUCUUCCUGAGAAACCCGAAGAGGAUAUUAAAAAGACAGCCACAGUUUUCCUACCACUUGCUGCCAGCUUUCUUGGGGGCCAGCUGUUGGGAAAGCCUGAAGUCUACUACCAGCACACCCCUGGGAAACGAAUACAGCCUGUUCCGUGUUGGGAUAGAAGGAGGUACCUCGAUUGGGAGCACAGCUGCAGGGGGUAAAUUUCAUUUUCUUUUUUCCUGUGUGUGUUUGUGUUUGUGUGUCUUUUCCAUAGGUGGUCUUUUACAUGUUUAAUUAAAUUCUGUUUUGAACAACAAAAACCAC